rnacentral:sRNA from 1 species
ACCUAUCCAAUCUAUAGUUCAAAAUGAGAACAUUUUCUCAAAAAACAUUUCAGAUGAAUUCUUAGUCAUUCGUAGACACAACCUUAGCGUCUGGCCUUAGGUGCUAAUUAAUGUUCUAGACAAGCCACUACAAUGUUAAAAACAAAUCGAAAAAACCAGUUUGGAAUAGCUAUCGAGACUCAAAGAGCUUGAAUUCAAAUGCUAGAAGCAAUGUGGACCCAGAAACUGCGCAAUCCAUAGGUGGGCUCCGUGGGGCGCUAAGCCCAUUGCAAUUCAGUUCCCUUUCAAAAGAGAAGCGAUUGCUUUACGUAAGGGACGGCGUCGGUGAUUAUUUAUGAACCGCCCCUCCCCGCUCCCCGCCCCCCCGUUGCCACAAUGUGGGCACAAAGUAGGUCUAAUGCCUGGACUGGACUGGACAACUGGCUCUAUAGACGCGUAUGUAUUUCCCACCGACCUUGACCAGCGCCCAAGGCCGCUCUCUGUCGUGCAUUGACUCCCAGGCCGCAAGUAGUUUCUCAGCCCCCGCCCCCCCCUAUCCACUAUGCACCCACUUGAGGAUCGUUUUUGUUUGGCUUUUACGACCGCACGCGCUCCGCGAACGGGCGUCAGAGAAUCGCCAGCACAAGUGCAAGUACAAAAUGCAAUAUGGAAAAUGUGAAAAUUCAAACUGCAAAAUGCAAAAUGCACAAUAUUUUAGCAUUAUUUAUGAUGACACGCUCUAUUAGCAGAAACGGGGAUUUACAAGCAAAUUACUAAAAAUGUGCAUUCGUUUUUACAGAACUUUUGCUGGUUUUACUCUCAGCAGUUCCGGUGCUAUUGUACGCUUUAUGUUCGCCGAUUAGGCGUACGUGCUCCGGACAAAGUGGGCCGUAGCCGUACAGCUAAUAUUGUAUAUUCCGAAAUAUAAUUAGACCUCGAAGUGAAAAGGAUUGAUUUAUGAUGGAUGAUAAGAAUCCCUUUAGAGUUUUGGCUACGGUUUAAAUAUAGCCCCUGAUGUCAGGUUACAAGAGAGACUUGUACAAAUACAGUAGAUACGAGGGCAUGGGUAUAAAUAGUUUGUUCUGUGUCUAUUUCUUUUUAGCCAUCAAUGAGAUACAACAAAGUACAAAGGACCCAACAAACAAAAUAAAAUAAAUCCACGUACACGACCUAUAGACUAUAGAUAGGAGUAAAGUAAAUAUAGACUGGCUGGAUCGGUGGAUGAAUGGACGUAGCCUGAGUGCUUGAAAUCACGCGUAACGCUUUCUGAUAAGAAUCGUGUUGUCGAUAGUGUGAAAAAGGGGCGGAUCUGACAUCCGGUUGUUGGAAAGGGGGCGUGGAGAAACAUAACAGAUUUGUUGAUAGGAUAAAAGUCGCUGAAAUCAUUUAAUAUUCAUUAUUCGGUGAAACCAAACCCAUAAAAUCCAAUGAUUUAAUUCAUCUUAACUUGGCCUUCAGUGCCCUGCUUCUUUUCCAAGUUCAAACCACCCCAAAAACUCCACAAAAUCUCCCCUCCUAUCAGCCACUCUUUCCUUACCAAUUUGUGGAAAAUCUGUUUGAGCCAUCGAAAGUAAAGCCUGCCUAAGGACAUCAAACGGAAUUACGCAUUUACCCCAUAAAUAUAGCCAUUCGGACACUUCAAUUGCUUAAGUUAUGGCUGUAGACACGUUUUAUUCUGGCUGGGUCUGUCUGUCCGUCUGUCUGUUCCUAUUCAAGGACCUCUUAGCCUGGCCACAUGGCACAGUUUUCAUUCCUUCCCUCCAUUACUCCAUAAUGGAAAUGGAUGAAAGUGUCGGAACAGCUUAAAGUGACAAGAAAAGGAAUAAGCUGGAAAGAAGAGGUGUGUACAAGUCUUGCAGAACUUCCUUCCAAGCUGUAAAUCUAUUAAAAAAUGUAGUAGUAUAUGAAAACCCCAUUAAGAAUUCAUAUUUGUGUGAGCUAUUUUGUUAUUGAGUCUGUUAGUUUUUUAUUGGUCAAUUAUAGCACGUAUAUAUGUACAACCGAGUAUGUAUGUAUGUAUAUAAUUACACAAUCUUCCCGCAUAGUCGGAUUAACGAGCUUCAGUCAAAUAUGUAAUAGGGCAAUGCAUUCCGUGAGUUUUCAUUUCGAGUGCCUAAUAUAUUUUUUAUUGCACUUUUCUUGUUGAUCUGUCGGAUUAUAUAUAGAAAUAUAGAAAUAUUUGUCUAGUUUCA